rnacentral:rRNA from 1 species
UAGGAUGAACGCUAGCUACAGGCUUAACACAUGCAAGUCGAGGGGCAGCAUUUCAGUUUGCUUGCAAACUGGAGAUGGCGACCGGCGCACGGGUGAGUAACACGUAUCCAACCUGCCGAUAACUCGGGGAUAGCCUUUCGAAAGAAAGAUUAAUACCCGAUGGCAUAAUUAGACCGCAUGGUCUUAUUAUUAAAGAAUUUCGGUUAUCGAUGGGGAUGCGUUCCAUUAGGCAGUUGGUGAGGUAACGGCUCACCAAACCUUCGAUGGAUAGGGGUUCUGAGAGGAAGGUCCCCCACAUUGGAACUGAGACACGGUCCAAACUCCUACGGGAGGCAGCAGUGAGGAAUAUUGGUCAAUGGGCGCAGGCCUGAACCAGCCAAGUAGCGUGAAGGAUGACUGCCCUAUGGGUUGUAAACUUCUUUUAUAUGGGAAUAAAGUUUUCCACGUGUGGAAUUUUGUAUGUACCAUAUGAAUAAGGAUCGGCUAACUCCGUGCCAGCAGCCGCGGUAAUACGGAGGAUCCGAGCGUUAUCCGGAUUUAUUGGGUUUAAAGGGAGCGUAGGUGGACAGUUAAGUCAGUUGUGAAAGUUUGCGGCUCAACCGUAAAAUUGCAGUUGAUACUGGCUGUCUUGAGUACAGUAGAGGUGGGCGGAAUUCGUGGUGUAGCGGUGAAAUGCUUAGAUAUCACGAAGAACUCCGAUUGCGAAGGCAGCUCACUGGACUGCAACUGACACUGAUGCUCGAAAGUGUGGGUAUCAAACAGGAUUAGAUACCCUGGUAGUCCACACAGUAAACGAUGAAUACUCGCUGUUUGCGAUAUACAGUAAGCGGCCAAGCGAAAGCAUUAAGUAUUCCACCUGGGGAGUACGCCGGCAACGGUGAAACUCAAAGGAAUUGACGGGGGCCCGCACAAGCGGAGGAACAUGUGGUUUAAUUCGAUGAUACGCGAGGAACCUUACCCGGGCUUAAAUUGCAUUUGAAUAAUCUGGAAACAGGUUAGCCGCAAGGCAAAUGUGAAGGUGCUGCAUGGUUGUCGUCAGCUCGUGCCGUGAGGUGUCGGCUUAAGUGCCAUAACGAGCGCAACCCUUAUCUUUAGUUACUAACAGGUCAUGCUGAGGACUCUAGAGAGACUGCCGUCGUAAGAUGUGAGGAAGGUGGGGAUGACGUCAAAUCAGCACGGCCCUUACGUCCGGGGCUACACACGUGUUACAAUGGGGGGUACAGAAGGCAGCUACCUGGUGACAGGAUGCUAAUCCCAAAAGCCUCUCUCAGUUCGGAUCGAAGUCUGCAACCCGACUUCGUGAAGCUGGAUUCGCUAGUAAUCGCGCAUCAGCCAUGGCGCGGUGAAUACGUUCCCGGGCCUUGUACACACCGCCCGUCAAGCCAUGAAAGCCGGGGGUACCUGAAGUACGUAACCGCAAGGAGCGUCCUAGGGUAAAAC